ACAUCAACUCUCAGUAUGUCCACUUAGGCAGAUUAAAUCGACCAAUAGGAAUAGAAUGGCGAAUUGCAUACCAAAACUGGCAAACGCCAUUGUUAUCUGCUUUUUUAGCUUCCAGAUGCGAGAGGAAGUUCUAAGAAGAUGAUCGGAGGAAGAAAGUCGAAGGCUUUUCCCUUCUCAAUCUGAAUGUUUUCAGAGGCAAGGAAAUACUUUCUCAACAAAAGCUGGGACCUUAUUACUUUCUCAACAAAAGAUGGGUCCUUUCUUUUGUAAAUCAUGAUAAGGAGGGUUUCCAUUUUCUCUGAUUUUGAGAGAUAUGAGUAUCGCAGUCCAUUCAGAUUGCUUGGCCAGCCAACAAAUGGAAAGCUUGAAUUGAUGGAUGGUCAAUGAUGCAAACUUGAUGUGCAUGUCAAUAAAAUUUCUAGCAUCCUCGGGCCACACAGAAACUCCCUAAAAAAAGUUGAGCGCAACACACUGUAAGGUUUUUAUUAGAGGGCGAGGAUCUGUGAAAGACAUUGUCAAGCUGAAAUCAAAGAUAGAGAAAUCAACAACAGAGUUUUUAAAAUAUAAUCUUUAUGGAAACCAUCUGAGUGCGACAAUGUUUUGAGAUAUUGGCUAAUGAAAAAAGGGAGUAAUUGAGAAGAAUCAGACGAAGAUGAACAUGAACAUCAGCUUGGUCCACGUCACCGGAACCAUUCCUGAUUUCCUGGCUUUUUUUUAUUCCUUAUCCAGUGGCUAUGAGAUUGUUUGACACUAACUUUAGUUUCUUACAUAUUCAUUUCAUAGUUACAAGAUGAGUUUUUGAUGGACUAUUGGUGUCAGCAUCAGCAUUAGAAACAUAGGGAAAUUGCAAAAGUGAUCAUGAUGCAGAAGAUUCAUCAAGAGUAGUUUACUCAGAAAAAUUCCCUGAAGCAGAGAAAAUGGUGUACUGAUCUUAGUUGGAAAACUUAAGGGACACACAAUACCGAUACAUUGUGGCAAGACCUACAAACGUCUUUCAUUAUCCGAAAAGAAAAACGUAACGAAAAACUGUUUGAUGCAGCGACUGCUUAAGUAAAUGAUAGGCAAAAUAUUUCCCUUCCCUAAUUUGAUAGAGACACACUGUUUUGUAAAAUGAAUGAAUCGUUUCAUGUUUGGCUGGUAUUGUAGUCGCUAAAGUUCUUUGCUAACAAGAGGGAAAGAGCCGGAAGAUUUGGAAGUGAGUUUAAUAGAAUUUUUCAAGACCCUGCUUCUGAGUUAUGUGGUUGCAACUUGCAAGUAGGAGUAAAUGAUUAACACGUAAAAGUUUAUUUCCUUUGACGACAUGAUUAUUUGGAAUUAUUUUAGGGGGGUUUGUGGUAAUAGUUUAUAAAAAAAGUUAUUAAUUCA